rnacentral:rRNA from 1 species
UACGAAGGGGGCGAGCGUUAUUCGGAAUUAUUGGGUGUAAAGGGCGCGUAGGCGGUAUGAAAAGUCUAUUGUUUAAUCCUCCGGCUUAACCGGAGAACUGCGGUAGAUACUGUCAUGCUAGAGUAUGGAAGAGAGAAGUGGAAUUCUCGGAGUAGCGGUAAAAUGCGUAGAUCUCGAGAGGAACGCCAAUGGCGAAGGCAGCUUCUUGGUACAUUACUGACGCUGAGGCGCGAAGGCGUGGGGAGCAAACAGG